GAUGAACGCUGGCGGCGUGCUUAACACAUGCAAGUCGAACGAUGAAGCCCAGCUUGCUGGGUGGAUUAGUGGCGAACGGGUGAGUAACACGUGAGUAACCUGCCCUUAACUCUGGGAUAAGCCUGGGAAACUGGGUCUAAUACCGGAUAGGAGCGUCCACCGCAUGGUGGGUGUUGGAAAGAUUUAUCGGUUUUGGAUGGACUCGCGGCCUAUCAGCUUGUUGGUGAGGUAAUGGCUCACCAAGGCGACGACGGGUAGCCGGCCUGAGAGGGGGACCGGCCACACUGGGACUGAGACACGGCCCAGACUCCUACGGGAGGCAGCAGUGGGGAAUAUUGCACAAUGGGCGCAAGCCUGAUGCAGCGACGCCGCGUGCGGGAUGACGGCCUUCGGGUUGUAAACCUCUUUCAGUAGGGAAGAAGCGAAAGUGACGGUACCUGCAGAAGAAGCACCGGCUAACUACGUG
rnacentral:rRNA from 1 species